AGGUGAUCCACCUGCCUUGGCCUCCCGAAGUUGUUAGCCAGGCAUGGUGGUGGGCACCUGUGGUCCCAGCUACUCAGCAGGCUGAGGUGGGAGGAUCGCUUGAGCCCAGGAGGUCGAGACUGCAGUGAGCUAUGAUUGCACCACUGCACUCCAGCCUGGGUGACAGAGUGAGACCUUGUCUCUAGGGGAAAAAAUAAAAGACAAACCAAAAAACCAAGGAAGCAGCCCAGAUGCCCAUCACAGAACGGGUGGGUGUGAAAUGCACUCAUCAUGGAAUACUACACGAUAAGGAAGCAAGGAAAACUGCUGCACCCGGCCUGUCUUUAAUUUCAAAUGCUGUGUGUCACCGAUGUAUAGGAAAGCAACUGACUUUUGUUUCAUAACCUUGUACCCUACAUUUGCUCAUGAGUUCCAAAAAUUGUGUUUUUCUUUUCUUUUCCUUUUUGGAUUCUGUAGGAUUUUCUGCAAUCACGUCAUUUGUGAACAAAGAAGUUUUAUUUCUUCCUUCCCAAUCUGUAUACUGGUGAUUUCCUUUUCCGGUCUUUUUGCUCUAGCGGGGACUCCCAGUUUGAGGCCUGAUGGGGUGGUGGGAGGGGACGUUCCUGCCUCUUCCUGAUCGUGGCUCCCUUCAGUUCCGCCUGCUGGGCCCUGAGUUGCUCCGGGAACCGCUGAGCACUGGCUCUAGGCUCUGUCUCCUUGGGGGACGUUCACCAGCUGCCUCUCAAAGGACCGCCUGAGACCAGACACUUCCGUGGCCUACGGCUUCCUCAAGGACUCUACAAGACACAGAAAUCCCUGCUGUCUCCACUGAAAAGAAAGGGAAUCCGUGACCAGGCCCCCCGCCGUGCUGGGCUGAGUGGACGGCACGGGAGACGACCCACGGACCGUUCUCGCUUUGCCUCCAGUGUCGUUCAAAGGGCACCUGCCUGAAGGAGACGUGGGGCUUUGGAGGUGCGGGAUUUCUUCUUACCUCUGUUCCCACUACUUACCUUCAGAAUAAAUCUCUAAGUCCGGUAUUAGCAAAUUCUUCACAGAUGUAGGCCACACAAAGCACCCUCAUUGUCUGUCAUAAAUAUAAUAUCUUUUAAAAUCUCCAACGCGACGCACGGGCCUGUUUC
rnacentral:lncRNA from 10 species